rnacentral:rRNA from 1 species
GACAGAGGGUGCAAACGUUGUUCGGAAUUACUGGGCGUAAAGCGCGUGUAGGCGGCCAUCUAAGUCGGGCGUGAAAUCCCACGGCUCAACCGUGGAAGUGCACUCGAAACUGGAUGGCUAGAGUCCUGGAGAGGAAGGUGGAAUGCUUGGUGUAGAGGUGAAAUUCGUAGAUAUCAGGAGGAACACCGGUGGCGAAGGCGGGUCUCUGGGCCGAUACUGACGCUGAGGAGCGAAAGCGUGGGGAGCGAACAGG